UACGGAGGGUGCGAGCGUUGUCCGGAAUCACUGGGCGUAAAGGGCGCGUAGGCGGCUUGGGAAGUCUGUGGUGAAAGCUCGUGGCUCAACUGCGAGUCGGCCAUAGAUACUCCUAAGCUCGAGUCGACUAGAGGCAGAUGGAAUUCCGGGUGUAGCGGUGGAGUGCGUAGAGAUCCGGAAGAACACCGGUGGCGAAGGCGGUCUGCUGGGGUCGAACUGACGCUGAGGCGCGACAGCGUGGGGAGCAAACAGG
rnacentral:rRNA from 1 species